GACAGAGGGGGCAAGCGUUGCUCGGAAUUACUGGGCGUAAAGGGCGCGUAGGCGGGAUGGCAAGUCGGUCGUGAAAUCCCUCGGCUCAACUGAGGAGCGUCGAUCGAAACUGCCGUUCUUGAGGGUUGCAGAGGAGACUGGAAUUCCCGGUGUAGCGGUGAAAUGUGUAGAGAUGUGGAGGAACACCAGUGGCGAAGGCGGCUUUUUGGUCUGUAACUGACGCUGAGGCGCGAAAGCGUGGGGAGCAAACAGG
rnacentral:rRNA from 1 species